GACGAACGCCGGCGGCGUGCUUAACACAUGUAAGUCGAACGGAAAGGCCCUGCUUUUGUGGGGUGCUCGAGUGGCGAACGGGUGAGUAACACGUGAGUAACCUGCCCUUGACUUUGGGAUAACUUCAGGAAACUGGGGCUAAUACCGGAUAGGAGCUCCUGCUGCAUGGUGGGGGUUGGAAAGUUUCGGCGGUUGGGGAUGGACUCGCGGCUUAUCAGCUUGUUGGUGGGGUAGUGGCUUACCAAGGCUUUGACGGGUAGCCGGCCUGAGAGGGUGACCGGCCACAUUGGGACUGAGAUACGGCCCAGACUCCUACGGGAGGCAGCAGUGGGGAAUAUUGCACAAUGGGCGGAAGCCUGAUGCAGCAACGCCGCGUGCGGGAUGACGUCCUUCGGGUUGUAAACCGCUUUCGCCUGUGACGAAGCGUGAGUGACGGUAAUGGGUAAAGAAGCACCGGCUAACUACGUG
rnacentral:rRNA from 1 species